rnacentral:rRNA from 1 species
CAGUCGCCGCGGUAAUACGUAGGUGGCAAGCGUUGUCCGGAAUUAUUGGGCGUAAAGGGCUCGCAGGCGGUUUCUUAAGUCUGAUGCGAAAGCCCCCGGCUCAACCGGGGAGGGUCAUUGGAAACUGGGAAACUUGAGUGCAGAAGAGGAGAGUGGAAUUCCACGUGUAGCGGUGAGAUGCGUAGAGAUGUGGAGGAACACCAGUGGCGAAGGCGACUCUCUGGUCUGUAACUGACGCUGAGGAGCGAAAGCGUGGGGAGCGAACAGGAUUAGAUACCCGUGUAGUCCCUGUCUCUUAUAC